GGGAUGUGCGGGGAGAGGAAGUGUGUGGAGCUCCUGGAUCUAGUGUAUACUAGUGGGGACAACUCAGAGGGGACAAAGACUGCGGAGUCUAUACAGUUUGAAGCCUUCUGAGGGAAGAACUGUCUUGGAGAUGGCGCCCUUCUGUGAGUCUUCCCAGCAUUCCUUCGUAUCAUCUUAUGCUGGCUGCAGACGAUGCGACAGGCAGUUAUGGGCCUGGAAGUCUUCUGACAUCCUUGGUGUCCCAGAGAGGAAGACAUCAAGUUCAAAGUACAUCCCUGGGUCCUCUGCGGCCCAGCUGAGGCGUAGGUACCAGGACAGCAUCACCCACUCUUCCUGGGAGAACAACACUGAGCCACAGGCUGGAAGGAGAAGGAGCACCAGGACCAGCGAUCACAGAUGUCCUCCUUCUCUCGAUGUCAGGGAGUGGAAGGGCCACAGAUGACGUGCCAUUAUCAGUGAUUACAGAUUCACUUCCUGUGGAUUUCAAACUUUCUUUCUGUUGUUGGACCUUGAAUAAAACUUUUUCCUCAGAGGAGUUUAGA
rnacentral:lncRNA from 14 species